AAGACCUUGCGCUUUUGGAGCGGCCGAMGCCUGAUUAGCUUGUUGGUAAGGUAAAAGCUUACCAAGGCUUCGAUCAGUAGCUGGUCUGAGAGGACGGCCAGCCACACUGGGACUGAGACACGGCCCAGACUCCUACGGGAGGCAGCAGUGGGGAAUUUUGGACAAUGGGGGCAACCCUGAUCCAGCCAUGCCGCGUGAGUGAAGAAGGCCUUCGGGUUGUAAAGCUCUUUCAGCCGGAACGAAACGGUUACGGUUAAUACCCGUGACUACUGACGGUACCGGAAGAAGAAGCACCGGCUAACUACGUGCCAGCAGCCGCGGUAAUACGUGGGGUGCGAGCGUUAAUCGGAAUUACUGGGCGUAAAGCGUGCGCAGGUGGUUUUGUAAGUCAGAUGUGAAAGCCCCGGGCUCAACCUGGGAACU
rnacentral:rRNA from 1 species